rnacentral:lncRNA from 1 species
GGGAAAUGUAGGGGAGCAGCCGGACUGAGCUGCCCAAGGGGGUCGGCGCCCCAGGCUUCUUGGUGGCAUGCUGGGGAGCGGGGAGGGGGCGAUUCUUACCCGAAGGCUGCCGAGCUACAGGCGGCGGUCGGUCCGGGCGUCUGCUGUAAUCCACUAGGCGCUGCCCGGCUGCGCUCACUCUCGGACGCAGAGACCCGCUCAUGUUGGUGAAGAAGCCGCGCCAGAACCGCGCGGCUGCAGUCACCUCGAGCAGGCCGGCUGCUCCUGGCAGGCGGUGUCGGCGCCGGCGGGGGACUCGGCGCCCAGGGCCCCUUCCAGGCCCUCCCUCGCCGGGCUCCCCACCAGCUCCGGAGGUGGCGGCGAUGCGGACCGAGUGAGCGGCGGUGGGGCCAGGCCGGGCGCCGGGCGGGAGCCGAGGCCGCGGCGGACUCCGCAAUCCCGCAGCCGGUGACUGGAGCCCACCUCUGCAGAGACAAAGGAACUGCUCUGGUGAACUCCCCCUGAAAGUAAAUGUCCUUGGCUGGCCUCCAGCAUUCCCCUCAUGGGCAUAGCCAUGCAGCCUUCAGAACCUUCCUGAAAGAGAUGCCCAAGGAUUCAGCAAACACGGGGGAAGCAGAGGACACAAGAAGCUUGGAUGUGAAAUAGCACUUCCUUCUGUGUUACAGAAUAAAACAAUAUUUUAAAUUACACAA